rnacentral:misc_RNA from 1 species
UCUCAAAAGGUUUGGGUGAUGAAUGUAGUUCCUGUUAAUGCUCCGAACACUCUUCCUAUUAUUUAUGAGCGUGGACUUCUGGGAAUCUACCAUGACUGGUGUGAACCGUUCAGCACCUACCCAAGGUCCUAUGACCUCCUACAUGCGGAUCAUUUGUUCUCACGCCUAAAGGGCAGGUGUAAGCAACCCAUCGUCAUUGUGGUUG